rnacentral:rRNA from 1 species
CCUACGGGAGGCAGCAGUGAGGAAUAUUGGUCAAUGGGCGGGAGCCUGAACCAGCCAAGCCGCGUGAGUGAAGAAGGUACAGCGUAUCGUAAACCUCUUUUGUCAGGGAACAAAGGCGGGGACUAGUCCCCGGAUGAGGGUACCUGAACAAAAAGCAUCGGCUAACUCCGUGCCAGCAGCCGCGGUAAUACGGAGGAUGCGAUCGUUAUCCGGAUUUCUUGGGUUUAAAGGAAGGGCAGGGGGCCUGUUACGUCAGCGGUAAAAGCCCGGGGCUCAACCCCGGCGAGCCGUUGAAACUGGCGGGCUGGAGUUGGAGAGAAGUACGCGGAAUGCGCGGUGUAGCGGUGAAAUGCGUAGAUAUUAGGAGGAACACCGGUGGCGAAGGCGGCCUGCUGGACUGUGACUGACGUUGAGGCCCGAAGGCGUGGGGAGCAAACAGGAUUAGAUACCCCUGUAGUC